rnacentral:lncRNA from 1 species
AUGGUGGCAGCUGCCUCAGCUGGCAGCCCUGGUGCCAAGCCUGGCACUGGUGGCUGCCCGUGCCUGGCACAGCACAGCACAGCCUGCCAGGGCCUGUCAGCGCCGUGGCACCGGAGCAGCUCCAUCCCAGGCAUGUCAGGGAGUGGCUCCUGGGGCUGGGGGCUGCAGCUGCUGCACCGUGAUGGGGAGUGGCAAGGGGGUGGCAGUGCCCUUCACUCCAGCAGUGUGGGCUCUGCCCUGGGCACUCCAGGGGAAAGCAGGCUGUGCCAAGGAGCCCGAGCACAGCCUGACACUGCUGCUGAGUCACCACCACCAGCAGCACUGACACCAACCCUGCCUGCUUCCAGCCUGACAGGUCCAGACACCAGCCCGAGCACUCCUGCACAGCAGCACUUUAAUUGGGCCGCAGAGCCCUGCCCAGCCCAGCCCUCGGCAGCACGGAGAUUCCUCCAGGUCUGUUCCACCAGGUGGUGCUGGGGUGGCCCCAUGGCCACCUGGUUUGUGUGGCCGCAGUCAGCCUGCUGCUCUCCUGGUGAGCACUGGGCUGGAGCUGGCCCCAAGCCUGCUGCCCCUAGGCAGGUGAAGGUGGUUGUGGAGAAAGCUCAUGGUCCCCAAAGGAUUCUGAGAACAGCCAGGGCACGCUGGCAGGAGGGAGAGCUGAAGGGCAGUUCUCUGCAAGCAGUGAGCCACACGGAGCAGGGCUGUGAGGUGAAGCAGUCCUGCUGUGCCCUGGGGUGUGUAGGCGGGCUGGGUCCCAUGCCUGCUGCAUCCCAGCAGCUCCAGGCAGCAGGAGCUCCUGCAUCCCUGGGAUGCAGCACUCCCAAUGACACCUCCCAAUGGGUCCUUGGCCAUGGCAAGAGGAGGAUCUUCCCCAGCACUCCAUGGUCCCCCAGCUUCCAGCGCUGUGUUGUGAUGCACAGAUUCAGUCCCAGCUGCAAGCAGAGUCUGUUCCAUCCCAUUCCUUCCUGUGGACACCAAGAGGACAGAGUCCCUAAGAUCCUGGGUCCCUGUCCCAGACCUGCCUCUAUCCUCUUCCCUGCCUCUGGGCCUCAGUAA